rnacentral:rRNA from 1 species
UACGUAGGCAGCGAGCGUUGUUCGGAAUUACUGGGCGUAAAGAGUGUGUAGGCGGUGUUCCAGUCUGUUGUGAAAUCUCCCGGCUUAACUGGGAGGGUGCAGCGGAACUAGAAUGCUAGAGGGUGGGAGAGGUAAGCGGAAUUCCUGGUGUAGCGGUGAAAUGCGUAGAUAUCAGGAGGAACACCUGUGGUGUAGACAGCUUACUGGACCACUUCUGACGCUGAGACACGAAAGCGUGGGUAGCAAACAGG